UUACCCAUCGUGAUGUGGUUAUUACAAUCGUAGUACAUUGAUUGAAAGGGCGAUAUUUUAUCGCCCUUAAUUUU
rnacentral:sRNA from 1 species